rnacentral:rRNA from 1 species
GACAGAUAAGGAGCUUGCUCCUUUGACGUUAGCGGCGGACGGGUGAGUAACACGUGGGUAACCUACCUAUAAGACUGGGAUAACUUCGGGAAACCGGAGCUAAUACCGGAUAAUAUUUCGAACCGCAUGGUUCGAUAGUGAAAGAUGGUUUUGCUAUCACUUAUAGAUGGACCCGCGCCGUAUUAGCUAGUUGGUAAGGUAACGGCUUACCAAGGCGACGAUACGUAGCCGACCUGAGAGGGUGAUCGGCCACACUGGAACUGAGACACGGUCCAGACUCCUACGGGAGGCAGCAGUAGGGAAUCUUCCGCAAUGGGCGAAAGCCUGACGGAGCAACGCCGCGUGAGUGAUGAAGGUCUUCGGAUCGUAAAACUCUGUUAUUAGGGAAGAACAUACGUGUAAGUAACUGUGCACGUCUUGACGGUACCUAAUCAGAAAGCCACGGCUAACUACGUGCCAGCAGCCGCGGUAAUACGUAGGUGGCAAGCGUUAUCCGGAAUUAUUGGGCGUAAAGCGCGCGUAGGCGGUUUUUUAAGUCUGAUGUGAAAGCCCACGGCUCAACCGUGGAGGGUCAUUGGAAACUGGAAAACUUGAGUGCAGAAGAGGAAAGUGGAAUUCCAUGUGUAGCGGUGAAAUGCGCAGAGAUAUGGAGGAACACCAGUGGCGAAGGCGACUUUCUGGUCUGUAACUGACGCUGAUGUGCGAAAGCGUGGGGAUCAAACAGGAUUAGAUACCCUGGUAGUCCACGCCGUAAACGAUGAGUGCUAAGUGUUAGGGGGUUUCCGCCCCUUAGUGCUGCAGCUAACGCAUUAAGCACUCCGCCUGGGGAGUACGACCGCAAGGUUGAAACUCAAAGGAUUUGACGGGGACCCGCACAAGCGGUGGAGCAUGUGGUUUAAUUCGAAGCAACGCGAAGACCUUACCAAAUCUUGACAU